rnacentral:rRNA from 1 species
CCUACGGGAGGCAGCAGUGAGGAAUAUUGGUCAAUGGACGAGAGUCUGAACCAGCCAAGUAGCGUGAAGGAUGACUGCCCUAUGGGUUGUAAACUUCUUUUAUAUGGGAAUAAAACGUUCCACGUGUGGGAUUUUGUAUGUACCCUAUGAAUAAGGAUCGGCUAACUCCGUGCCAGCAGCCGCGGUAAUACGGAGGAUCCGAUCGUUAUCCGGAUUUAUUGGGUUUAAAGGGAGCGUAGGUGGAUUGUUAAGUCCGUUGUGAAAGUUUGCGGCUCAACCGUAAAAUUGCAGUUGAAACUGGCAGUCUUGAGUACAGUAGAGGUGGGCGGAAUGCGUGGUGUAGCGGUGAAAUGCUUAGAUAUCACGAAGAACUCCGAUUGCGAAGGCAGUUCACUGGACUGCAACUGACACUGAGGCUCGAAAGUGUGGGUAUCAAACAGGAUUAGAUACCCGGGUAGUC